rnacentral:misc_RNA from 1 species
UAGUGAUGAAAAGAAAAGAAAAAUAAAAAAAGGCUCAUUUAUGACAUAAUGUGAUGUCAUUUAAAAAGCUACCACCAAUCAUAUGUAAACAACCAAUUAACUAACUAAUAAAAGAGAUAAAUGAAGACCAAAAAAAUUAAAAAAACACAGCAGCCAUCAUCCUCCCCAACCAGCCGAAAACCUUGCCCUAGCCAAACCUCCAUUAAAACCAUCAAAAAGCUUCAUUUCUCUCUUGUUUCCACUACUAAACCCUAAACCCCUUUCAUUAAAAGUUGUCCACUCAUCUUGGGAGAGUGUUUGGCAGCCUAGAAAGUGAAGGAAAGUGAAG